rnacentral:lncRNA from 1 species
GAAACCCUUUGGUGGGAGAACGGGUCUUCUCCAAUUCUCCUCGCUCCCAUCGCCUAUAUAAAGCUGGCCACAGCUCAGCACUCAGCACGAGACCAGCAACCAGCACUAGUCGUCGCUUCCUUCGAACCUGGCGCCGCCGCCACCGCCCGCCGCCGCCAACCACCGUCGUAGUCCAUACGAAGAUAAUGAAGCCAUUCCGGUGAACCUCGGCUGCCGCGGUCCCGAUCUCCGCCGCCUCCGGUGGGGCCAAAACAUGGAACCACGGACGCACCCUCGCUACAUUCCGAAGCGCGGGAAGAUCCUGAAGCGAAUUCUUAAACGUCUCUUAUGCUCACUGUUCGGUCUCUGCAGGGGCGGUAGGGUUCGCCCCCAAGCCGAUGACCGCCGGAGAUAAGCUCCAGGGUCGACGGGGCUUCUUCUCCUAACGCCCGCAUAGAUUUUUAUAUGCGGAUGCUUGGGUUUGCUUGGGGUCCAAGAUACAAUGGAAUAAAUCGGAUACGUCCACGUUGACAGAGUUGAUGGUGGAUCAUGUGCCCGUGUAGAAAUUAGUCUGCAUGCGUUGGAGAUUAGUAUGGCAGAGUAAUUCGCGUUUUUGUUUCAGCUGUACAGCAUGGAAGAUGGAUGUGCGCACUGGAUGUUCCCGAAGAGUGCUGAUCGCGUGGAUUAGAUGGUUGUAAAUUGUAACUAUACCGAUCAUUAAAUUUGUCAACUUUGUAAAUUAUUUGUAUACGGAGUAUUGAUAAAUUAUUCAUAAUGAUGUCUUGGGGUGCAAUUAUAUGCGCAUGAUAAAUUUAUCAAGUUCAUAAUUAUUGAUUGUUUACCAAAAAACAAAAAUUCAUAAUAAUUGAUUUGAUA